rnacentral:rRNA from 1 species
UGGGGAAUAUUGCACAAUGGGCGCAAGCCUGAUGCAGCCAUGCCGCGUGUGUGAAGAAGGCCUUCGGGUUGUAAAGCACUUUCAGCGGGGAGGAAGGCGGUGAGGUUAAUAACCUCAUCGAUUGACGUUACCCGCAGAAGAAGCACCGGCUAACUCCGUGCCAGCAGCCGCGGUAAUACGUAGGGUGCAAGCGUUAAUCGGAAUUACUGGGCGUAAAGCGCACGCAGGCGGUCUGUCAAGUCGGAUGUGAAAUCCCCGGGCUCAACCUGGGAACUGCAUUCGAAACUGGCAGGCUAGAGUCUUGUAGAGGGGGGUAGAAUUCCAGGUGUAGCGGUGAAAUGAGUAGAGAUCUGGAGGAAUACCGGUGGCGAAGGCGGCCCCCUGGACAAAGACUGACGCUCAGGUGCGAAAGAGUGGGGAGCAAACAGG